rnacentral:sRNA from 1 species
GCCAGGCACGGUGGCGCAGGCCUGUAAUCCCAGCAGCUCAGGAGGCUGAGGCAGGAAGAUUGCAAGUUCAAAGCCAGCCUCAGCAACUUAGCAAGGCACUUAGCAACUCAGCAAGACCCUCUCUCUA